rnacentral:rRNA from 1 species
UUCCGGUUGAUCCUGCCGGACCCCACUGCUAUCGGGAUAGGACUAAGACAUGCUAGUCGUGUGCCUCAGCCAAAACGAGGCACGGCGCACAGCUCAGUAACACGUGGCUAACCUGCCCUUAGGACGAGAAUAACCCCGGGAAACUGGGGCUAAUGCUCGAUAGGUGAAGAACUCUGGAAUGAGUCUUCACUUAAAAGAGUCUGCGUUAUGCUCGUAGAUUUCGCUUAAGGAUGGGGUCGCGACCGAUCAGGUUGUUGGUGAGGUAAUGGCUCACCAAGCCUUUUACCGGUGCGGGCCGUGAGAGCGGGAGCCCGGAGAUGGGCACUGAGACAAGGGCCCAGGCCCUACGGGGCGCAGCAGUCGCGAAAACUUUGCAAUACACGAAAGUGUGACAGGGCUAUCCCGAGUGCCAUCCGCUGAGGAAGGCUUUUAUCAAGUCUAGAACGCUGGGGGAAUAAGGAGAGGGCAAGUCUGGUGUCAGCCGCCGCGGUAAUACCAGCUCUCCGAGUGGUGUGGAUGUUUAUUGGGCCUAAAGCAUCCGUAGCUGGCUAAGUUAGUCCCCUGUUAAUCCAACGAAUUAAUCGUUGGAUCGCGGGGGAUACUGCUUGGCUAGGGGACGAGAGAGGCAGACGGUAUUUCCGGGGUAGGGGUGAAUCCUAUAAUCCGGGAAGACACCAGUGGCGAAGCUGUCUGCUAUACGCGCCCGACGGUGAGGGAUGAAGCUGGGGGAGCGACCGGAUUAGAUACCCGGGUAGUCCAGCUGUAACGAUGCAGCUAGUGUUGGACGCCACGUGCCGUUCUAGUGCCGCAGGGAACUGUUAGCCUGCCGCU